GUAAAAACAUAUUUAAAAAUUAACAAACCAUUACGAGAAUGUGACAAAUUUAAUAUUAAUUGUGAGAACUCUUCAAUUGAGCCUUCAACAACGAGUAAUACUUCUCACAGUGAAACGUUGGACAUCACAGUAAUAGAAAAAGAAAAUAUCAAUGUACAUCAGCAACAAUCAUACAUAGAGAAUUUAAAAACCACUAUAAACAUGGAAGAGAAUCAAAAUAAUUCAUA